rnacentral:rRNA from 1 species
AUGAACGUUGGGCGGGCUGUGCUUAACACAUGCAAAGUCGAGGCGAAGAAAACUCCUUCGGGAGUUAGUACAGCGGCGGGAACGGGUGAGGAACGCGUAAGAAUCUUCCCUUCAGUGAAGAAUACCCUUGAGAAAUCGAGGAUAAUACUGCAUAUUUCCCUACGGGGGCAAAAGGUUGGCUUUAAUUGCUGCCGCUUGAAGGAUGAGCUUGCGUUACUAUUAAGCUAGUUGGUGAGGGUAAAAGGCUCACCCAAGGCCGAUUGAUGGUUAGCCGGGCCUGAGAGGGUGUACGGCCACAUUGGGACUGAGAUACGGCCCCAGACUCCUACGGGAGGCAGGCAGUGAGGAAUAUUGCGCAAUGGGCGAAAGCCUGACGCAGCGACCGGCCGCGUUGGAGGGGGAAUGACGGUCUUUCGGAUUGUAAAACUCCUGUUUUAAGCGGGAAGAAAAAAACAAUCUCUAAUACAGAUUGGAUAUGACGGUUACCGCUAGAGAAAGCACCGGCUAACUUCGUGCCAAGCAGGCCGCGGUAAUACGAGGGGUGCAAACGUUAUUCGGAUUUAUUGGGCGGUAUAAAGGGUGUGGUAGACGGUUUUUAUUAAGUUCGUUGUUGUUAAAACUUUCGGCCCUAACUGAAAGCUUUGCGGUGAAAACUGAUAGAACUAGAGGAUGAAAAGAGAGGAGUGGAAUUCUCGGAGUAAGUAGCGGAAUGUAAAAUGCGUAGAUUCUCGAGAGGAACACCCGAUGGCGAAAAGCAGCUCCUUGGUUUCAUACCUGACGUUGAAAACACGAAAGCGUGGGGAGGCAAACAGGAUUAGAUACCCUGGGUAGUCCACGCUGGUAAACGAUGAUCACUGGAUGUUAGUCUUGCUUUGCAAGAUUGGUAUCGAAGCUAACGCGUUUAAGUGAUCCGCCUGGGAAACUACGAUCGCAAGAUAUUAAAACUCAAAGGAAUUGACGGGGGGUCCGCCAACAAGCGGCUGGAACAUGUGGUUUAAUUUCGACACUACGCGAGGAAACCUUACCUGGACUUGACAUGCUUUUGAACAACCAUGGAAACAUGGCUUUUUUUAAGGCUUCGGUCUAGACAGAAGUGCAGGUGCUGCAUGGCUGUUCGUCAGCCUCGUUGUCGUGAGAUGUUUUGGUUAAGUUCCUCUAACGAGCGCAACCCCUUGCUGCCAGUUGCAACUAUCUUCGGAUAAGGCACUCUGGUGGGACUGCCUGGGAAAACCAGGAGGAAAGGUGGGGAUGACGUCAAGUCAUCAUGGUCCCUUAUGUCCCAGGGCUACACACGUGUUACAACGGCCGGUACAAAGGGGUGCAAUGCCGCGAGGUGGAGCAAAUCCCAGAAAGCCGGUAUCUAAGUUCGGAUUGGAGUCUGCAAACUCGGACUCCAUGAGUAAGUUGAAAUCGCUAGUAAUCGUAUAUCAGAACGGUACGGUGAAUAACGUUCUCGGAACCUUGUACACACCGCCCGUCACACCACGAAAGCUAUUUGUACCCAAAGGUUUAUUUUAGUCAACCCGUAAGGGAGGCGAAAAUAGUUAAGGUUUAUGGGUAGUGAUUGGGGUG